CCUACGGGGGGCUGCAGUGGGGAAUAUUGGACAAUGGGCGAAAGCCUGAUCCAGCCAUGCCGCGUAUGUGAAGAAGGCCUUCGGGUUGUAAAGCACUUUCAGUGGGGAAGAAAGCCUUGGGGCUAAUACCCUCGAGGAAGGACAUCACCCACAGAAGAAGCACCGGCUAACUCCGUGCCAGCAGCCGCGGUAAUACGGAGGGUGCGAGCGUUAAUCGGAAUUACUGGGCGUAAAGCGCGCGUAGGCGGUCUGAUAAGCCGGUUGUGAAAGCCCCGGGCUCAACCUGGGAACGGCAUCCGGAACUGUCAGGCUAGAGUGCAGGAGAGGAAGGUAGAAUUCCCGGUGUAGCGGUGAAAUGCGUAGAGAUCGGGAGGAAUACCAGUGGCGAAGGCGGCCUUCUGGACUGACACUGACGCUGAGGUGCGAAAGCGUGGGUAGCAAACAGGAUUAGAUACCCCGGUAGUC
rnacentral:rRNA from 1 species